rnacentral:ncRNA from 1 species
AUCAUGGCCUUAAUAUUGUGGGCUGAUAAGUGUUGUAGGAAUACACUAGAUUGGCUAAAACUAUCAAAUUACGGGGACCUCCUAAAGCUUCUGGUACCAAGCUGUAGUCGAAAGUCUACAAGUGGCUGAACUAAUUACUCAGGUACGGUAAUAAGCCAGAAGAUGAAUGAAAAUGAAAUGGAUAAUCGCGUAUCUAAAUCAGAGUUUAAAUUAGAUCAUAAGAAAGAUCUUGUGUUAAACUCUGUAAAAGAGCAACGAGUAGACGGUAGUUGACCUCUUUUUAUAAAAGCCAAUCCAAUAAAUAUAAAAAGAAGUUUAAGGUAUACACUAAUAGGCCUUGAGAGAGGUUG